AACCAACAUCUCGUAGUGUAAUGCCAGGGCGUUUCCCAGGUAUGACCCGGCACACGGGAUAUUCAACCUCGUGUGCGCGUGCGUGAUCAGCUCUUGAAAUAUCUUAGCUUGAUCACACAAUCUCUCGCCACCCAAUGACAACUAGUUAACUGUGGGCUGCCAACAGUCGCUACGUACUGGGACGGUACCGCAGAGAACGUUGGAAGAGACCAAGAGACUGGAUUCCAGGCUAACCUCAAAGACGUGCGUACCAAGCCUAAAUCAUGCACACACCAUGUCACACACAUAUGCGUGGAGAUUUGUUGUCAUGCCAUCGGGUGAAAAAACAAGCGUUAUCCAGUGGACGUCUGAGAAAAGCGCUGAAAGACACAUCAAACAGAAAAGCCACCCGUUUGGAAAUUGUGAAGAUUAGGAUCAGCGGCUGUAAAUUUGUAUCAGCAAUAAAUAGAACGCCACAGCGGCGCGUCCCAUCUCA